rnacentral:rRNA from 1 species
CGCAGCCGCGGUAAUUCCAGCUCCAAUAGCGUAUAUUAAAGUUGUUGCAGUUAAAAAGCUCGUAGUUGAAUUUCGGAAUCUGUCCAUUGGUCGGGCUUCACUGUCCGUACUGGUGUGGUGGGUUCUUACCUUCUGAAUAACCAGCAUGCCAUUUAUUUGGUGCGUUGGGGAAGCAGGACUAUUACCUUGAAAAAUUAGAGUGCUCAAAGCAGGCUAGUGCCUGAAUACAUUAGCAUGGAAUAAUAAAAUAGGACGGCAUGGUUCUAUUUUGUUGGUUUCUAGGAUCACCGUAAUGAUUAAUAGGGAUAGUUGGGGGCAUUAGUAUUCAAUUGUCAGAGGUGAAAUUCUUGGAUUUAUUGAAGACUAACUUCUGCGAAAGCAUUUGCCAAGGAUGUUUUCAUUAAUCAAGAACGAAAGUUAGGGGAUCGA